rnacentral:tRNA from 1 species
UCCCUGGUGGCUCAGAUGGUAAAGCGUCUGCCUGCAAUGCAGGAGACCCGGGUUCGAUUCCUGAAUCGGGAA